rfam:Bacteroides sp. CAG:189 genomic scaffold, scf386
ACAGAAAAGGAGUUGUGAAACUCUGAGAAUAGAAUAGUUUAGUUAAGUCUAGUUUAGUUUUUGUGUUAAAUGGCUUCCUCGUCGGCGGACGAACAAGGAAGCCAUUUUUAU